CACGUAGGGGGCGAGCGUUGUCCGGAAUCAUUGGGCGUAAAGAGCUCGUAGGCGGCUCAGUAAGUCGGGUGUGAAACCCCCAGGCUCAACCUGGGGACGCCACUCGAUACUGCUGUGGCUAGAGUCCAGUAGAGGAGUGUGGAAUUCCCGGUGUAGCGGUGAAAUGCGCAGAUAUCGGGAGGAACACCAACGGCGAAGGCAGCACUCUGGGCUGGAACUGACGCUGAGGAGCGAAAGCGUGGGUAGCAAACGAGGA
rnacentral:rRNA from 1 species